rnacentral:rRNA from 1 species
AUUGAACGCUGGCGGCAUGCCUUACACAUGCAAGUCGAACGGUAGAGUAGCAAUACUUGAGAGUGGCGAACGGGUGAGUAAUAUAUCGGAACGUGCCCGGUCGUGGGGAUAACGUAGCGAAAGCUACGCUAAUACCGCAUACGAUCUACGGAUGAAAGCGGGGGAUCGCAAGACCUCGCGCGAUUGGAGCGGCCGAUAUCAGAUUAGGUAGUUGGUGAGGUAAAGGCUCACCAAGCCGACGAUCUGUAGCUGGUCUGAGAGGACGACCAGCCACACUGGGACUGAGACACGGCCCAGACUCCUACGGGAGGCAGCAGUGGGGAAUUUUUGAACAAUGGGCGGCAAGCCUGAUCCAGCAAUGCCGCGUGCAGGAUGAAGGCCUCGG